ACCUAUCAGUCGCUGCCCGGAGCGCGCAUAUUGAUUAUCGUAGGUGGAGGCAACGUCGGCGGGAGAAUCAAUAUUACUUUUCACCGGUUUGCUCGCCAUUUUCAUCGUGAUAUUUUUCGAGUAACGUACAACGUACGAAUCACGCGUGCCUCCUCAACGGUGGAUAAGAAUUUACGGUUGUUUCGUUAAUUAAAAUUACAACAGUGCGACGCCAGGCUACGAUGUAGUAUCAACCGAGUGCCAGCGAUCGUUUUUUUCCCGCUUACGCCAAGGUUUCUUUUCUGUCGCUUCUACCGCAGUGUCUAUAUUUAAAUUUCUACGUACUCGAAUGAAUGUAACGUUUCGUUGACAUCCGCAUCGAGUCAACCGACAGCAACUUCUCGAACAAGGAUUCAAUAACGUAAACAGAUCUACAGUGACUAAACAAUUAAAAACUCAUCAACAAUUCACUGUGCAACGAGUUAUUUAUUGGGCAUAUCAUCAGCUGAUCAGGGCCAUCGAGUUGGUCGAGACAGAAGAAGAUUCAGUUGAAGACUAUUGAGGAAUCCAGUUACUGUUUAUCAGAGAAUAUCAACUGCUCUGCGAAGGAAAUACCUUGGUAAUAUUGCUGCAUUAUCCAGUGGGACGAGCAAGUGAUCGUUAUCAACGAGCUCGAAUAUCUGGGACAUCCAGAACCCCAUUUUUUGGGGUACCCAAACAUUCAGCUAGAACCCCAUCUGAGAUAACUAUAAUUUCACCUGAAGGGUUCCAUUGUUACGCACGGUCUUCUAUGCGGCAAGAAUCCCAGAACGGUCUGAAGAUCAGGCCACCAGGUGACCACGGUGGGGUGCAUCACGGAGGGAUCAUGCUCGAGGAGGACAUGGCUGGCGCCCAGGACACGAUAUACCUGUGCAAUUUCCGUGUGUCGGUGGACGGCGAGUGGCUGUGCCUGAAGGAACUUCAGGAUGUCGAGUUCUCGUUGCAGGACUCAAUGCAGCGGUCACCGUCGCCGCCUCUCGCUCUCAGUGGUAUAAAUCAUCCUCAUCAUCACCAUCAUCACCACCGUCAGCAACAGCUUCCCGAUCAGCGAGAGCUUCGCAAUAUAAAUCCGCCAAGUCCACCGCCAUUGCAGCACGUCUCCAGCUUGUCACGGGAUCCGGUCAUCAUCGAAAGGAGCAAUCUCGUUAAUAUAUCGAAGCUGAUAGUCAAGGAGCUGAUCGAAACUUCCUUGAAAUAUGGUCGAAUGCUGGACUCCGAUCACAUGCCGUUGCAACAUUUUUUCAUCGUCCUCGAACACGUGCUUAGGCACGGUCUGCGACCAAAGAAGGGUCUCCUUGGACCCAAGAAGGAGCUUUGGGAUAUACUUCAGCUCGUUGAGAAGUAUUGUUCCGAAGCGCAGGACAUUACGUCCAGUAUUCGUGAUCUACCUACCGUUAGGACCGCAAUGGGUAGAGCGCGAGCAUGGUUGCGUAUGGCACUCAUGCAGAAAAAGCUGGCGGAUUACUUGAAAGUUCUGAUCGAUCACAAAGAAGACAUACUAUCCGAGUACUUCGAACCAGACGCUCUAAUGAUGAGCGAGGAGGCAAUCGUCAUAAUGGGCUUGUUGGUGGGCCUCAACGUGAUCGACUGCAACUUUUGUGUAAAGGAAGAAGACCUUGAUUGCCAACAGGGCGUAAUUGACUUUUCGCUGUACUUGCGUAACAGUAAUCACAUACCUGGCGAAUCUCCGGACGAAGAGGUGGAGAACGACAACAUGACCACGGUUCUCGAUCAGAAGAACUACAUAGAAGAAUUGAAUCGACACCUAAACGCUACAGUGACAAAUCUUCAAGCCAAAGUGGAAUCCCUGACGACGACAAACGCUCUCAUGAAGGAGGAUCUAUCGAUCGCCAAGAAUAAUAUACUAUCGUUGCACGAAGAGAACAGACAGUUAAAGAAAGAACUGGGAAUCGAGGUGAAAGACACGAACGAGAACGGGAAACCGCCGAUUAAGAUCACGGAAACCACGGCGGAAAUCGAGGAAUUGAGGAGUAGGCUGGAGACUGAAAGGAAAAUGCGACAGGAUGUGGAGAAAGAGUUAGAAUUACAGAUUAGUAUGAAAUCCGAAAUGGAGGUGGCUAUGAAAUUGCUGGAGAAGGAUAUUCACGAGAAACAAGACACGAUCAUAUCGUUGCGGCGGCAGCUGGACGAGAUCAAAUUAAUUAACUUGGAAAUGUACAAAAAGCUACAGGAGUGUGAGCACGAAUUAACGCAGAAAGGCGAAAUGGUGAGCCGGCUGCAUGCGAAGACAAAUCAAAUCGGCAAGAUCCUGCAUAACCUCGAGAAGUACAACCACCUGAUGAAGGACGGGGAGAAUAUGCGUAGCCCCACCACGCCGAGUAGUGUCUCUAAAUCGAUUCUUAAUAAAACUAGCCCAACGUCGCCGCGCGGUUGCCCGUCGGCGGACAUUGUUCACAUCGGGGAUCAGCAGCAUUUUUCUAACAAUAAACAACAGCCAACGAGUAGCCAACAGAAAUUUGCUAACAAACAGUCACCUUUUAAUAGUUUCCAACGACCCAAUAACGGCCAACAGCGGCAACCCUCGAAUAGCCAGCAAGAUCCGCCAAAUAACAAUGAACGAAAAAAGGCUGACAGCCCCCAACAAGGCCCUAACGACAACAAACAAACAAAGUCUGAUUACAAUUCGGAUCAGAGCAAAUGCAACGGCGAGAUUCCUGUGGAAGCCUCGGCGACACAGGAGCAAUCGGAUUUGUAAAAGGGCUUCGUCUCUCGAGAGUGGUUUUUAUAUUAUACACCUUGAAACUUCGUUUAAUAUCUUCAUCAACUGAGCGCGUGCGAAGAGCAACAAUUUCUUUUAUACACAGGAUGUUUCUGAAAUGUUCAAUAAUGUUUUGAAAAAUUUUUCAUGUAGGUACUAAUAUGAAUUCAACGUGAAUUAUGCGUACAAUUUAUUUGAUCCUUUUUAUUAACAUUUACUCGAGGGCUUGAGGUCGUUUAUCUUCCCCUUUUGGUGGAAUAUUUAAUAAAUUUAACUUGAUGUAUUAGUUCAUCUCAUAAGUUCGUGUCGCAGAUUGUGUUUACAUUUAUAAAAAAAAAAAGGCACAGAAAUUUUAUAACAUCGUUGGACUUUCCAGAAGCAUUAUUUGACACUAAACAAAAAUAUAUCAAAUUAUUACUUCGAACGCUCGCACGGAGCAGAACUUUACGUGUCUGGGAAUGCAUAGAAAAUUAAUGAAAAUUAAUUGAGAUACUUGACGGUUAAUAAUCUAAUAAUCCAUGCGUUGGUAAGCUUCAAAUGGAAUGUCUGUCAAGGUGUGAUCUGAUUGAGACACUCUAUAUAAUUAGCUGUCCUCUGUUACUACAUAAUUACGCUGUUAAUGAAAUUGCUAUUAUAUACACAGAACUAUUGAAGACAAUAAUGUCGAGUAGAGGUUUUUAUUGUACUAUGCUAUAAACUUAAAUUGCUAAAUGUUUUAUCUUCCAAUUUGGAUUCAUUACGUUCGUUGUUCUGUACAGAGUGUCUUGGGUGCUUGAUUCAAGUACACUGUGGGAUUAGUGAUGUAUUUGGACGAAGAUAUUGGUUAUCCUGUAAUACUUGCAACACUCAUUCUUUUUUGCAGGAUUUAUCGUUGACUGUUGCCGCGUUACGAGAGUAAAUAAAUUCAUUUAUACGUAUUGCAGUUUAGACAGGAUGAUUGAUAUUCUUUUCGAAAUUUUAUUAACUGAGUUUGAACUCGAGUCACUAUAAAAGUGAUCGGAAGAAAGCUCACAUUGCAUGCUUCUUCGACUAAUUUAUAUUACGAUACAAUUUCUUAUGUCGUUCUAAUCCUUUUGGAAGGCUAUUUUACACUUGACACUACUAUACUACCACAGGCUGAUGUGCAAUUGUAAACUGUAUAUGCAAAUCAUAUUUAUAAAAACAUUGUGCGAUUUCAGGGCUAUUCUUAGUCGAGAAACACAACAACUUUUUGUCUGCUUUUUACUGAAAAAGAAUUUAUUUCAGGAGUGUGAAGGCUCACUUAAGCAUAAAACAGAACUGAUCACUAAAUUGGAGGCUAAGACGCUAUCGAUGACUGAGACCAUCCAAAAAAUGGAUGAAAAGUGCAAGGAAAUGGACGGCGUGAAAUCUGGAGCGGAGGAGAGGGUGAGGAU